GGGGAAUUUUCCGUAAUGGGCGAAAGCCUGACGCAGCGACGCCGCGUGGGUGAUGAAGGCCUUCGGGUUGUAAAGCCCUGUGGGGAGGGACGAAUAACAGGGACCUAAUACGUCAUUGGAUGACGGUACCUCCUUAGCAAGCACCGGCUAACUCUGUGCCAGCAGCCGCGGUAAGACAGAGGGUGCAAACGUUGUUCGGAAUUACUGGGCGUAAAGCGCGUGUAGGCGGUUAUGCAAGUCGGGUGUGAAAGCCCCGGGCUCAACCCGGGAAGUGCAUUCGAUACUGCGUAGCUAGAGUACUGGAGAGGAUGGUGGAACUCUGGGUGUAGAGGUGAAAUUCGUAGAUAUCCAGAAGAACACCGGUGGCGAAGGCGGCCAUCUGGACAGAUACUGACGCUGAGACGCGAAAGCGUGGGGAGCAAA
rnacentral:rRNA from 1 species